rnacentral:rRNA from 1 species
GACGAACGCUGGCGGCGUGCCUAAUACAUGCAAGUCGAACGCAGUGGGGACGGGUGAGUAACACGGGGGUAACCUCCCAACAGAGGGGAUAACACUUGGAAAAAGGGGAUAAACCAAUACUGAUGGAGGGACCCGCGGUGCAUUAGGUAGUUGGGGAGGUAACGGCUAACCAGGGCAACGAUGCAUAGCCGACGUGGGAGGGUGUUCGGCCACCCGGGGACUGAGAACCGGCCCAGACUCCUACGGGAGGCAGCAGUAGGGAAUCUUCGGCAAUGGACGAAAGUCGGACCGAGCAACGCCGCGUGAGUGAAGAAGGUUUGCGGAUCGUAAAACUCUUUGGUUAGGGAAGCGGUAGCUAACCAGAAAGCCACGGCUAACUACGUGCCAGCAGCCGCGGUAAUAC